rnacentral:rRNA from 1 species
UACGUAGGGUGCAAGCGUUAAUCGGAAUUACUGGGCGUAAAGCGUGCGCAGGCGGUGAUGUAAGACAGAUGUGAAAUCCCCGGGCUUAACCUGGGAAUGGCAUUUGGGACUGCAAGGCUCGAGUGCGGCAGAGGAGACUGGAAUUCCUGGUGUAGCAGUGAAAUGCGUAGAUAUCAGGAGGAACACCGAUGGCGAAGGCAGGUCUCUGGGCUGACACUGACGCUCAUGCACGAAAGCGUGGGGAGCAAACAGG